rnacentral:rRNA from 1 species
UGGGGAAUAUUGGACAAUGGGCGCAAGCCUGAUCCAGCCAUGCCGCGUGUGUGAAGAAGGCCUUCGGGUUGUAAAGCACUUUUGUCCGGAAGAAAUCCUGUCGGUUAAUACCCGGCGGGGAUGACGGUACCGGAAGAAUAAGCACCGGCUAACUUCGUGCCAGCAGCCGCGGUAAUACGAAGGGUGCAAGCGUUACUCGGAAUUACUGGGCGUAAAGCGUGCGUAGGUGGUUCGUUAAGUCUGAUGUGAAAGCCCUGGGCUCAACCUGGGAAUGGCAUUGGAUACUGGCGACCUAGAGUGCGGUAGAGGGGUGUGGAAUUCCCGGUGUAGCAGUGAAAUGCGUAGAUAUCGGGAGGAACAUCUGUGGCGAAGGCGACACCCUGGACCAGCACUGACACUGAGGCACGAAAGCGUGGGGAGCAAACAGGAUUAGAUACCCUGGUAGUCCACGCCCUAAACGA